rnacentral:rRNA from 1 species
GGCUCAGGACGAACGCUGGCGGCGUGCCUAAUACAUGCAAGUCGAACGGUCUUUCUAUGGAAGCUUGCUUCCACUGAGAAGAUAGUGGCGAACGGGUGAGUAACACGUGGGUAACCUGCCCAUAAGAGGGGGAUAACAUCCGGAAACGGGUGCUAAUACCGCAUAGUUUUCUUGAUCGCAUGAUCGGGAAAGGAAAGACGGCCUUUGUGCUGUCGCUUAUGGAUGGACCCGCGGCGUAUUAGUUAGUUGGUGAGGUAACGGCUCACCAAGACGAUGAUACGUAGCCGACCUGAGAGGGUGAUCGGCCACAUUGGGACUGAGACACGGCCCAAACUCCUACGGGAGGCAGCAGUAGGGAAUCUUCCGCAAUGGACGAAAGUCUGACGGAGCAACGCCGCGUGAGUGAAGAAAGGUUUUCGGAUCGUAAAACUCUGUUGUCAGAGAAGAACAAGUUGGAGAGUAACUGCUCCAGCCCUGACGGUAUCUGACCAGAAAGCCACGGCUAACUACGUGCCAGCAGCGGC